rnacentral:rRNA from 1 species
UCCUAUGGCCAUACCACUCUGAACACACUACAUCUCUUCUUGAAAGCUGAGCAGAGUCAGGCCUGGUUAGUGCUUAGAUGGACACUGCCCACUUAGUGUUGUAGGUA